GGUGAUGUAGCUCAGAGGUAGAGCAUUUGCCUUACAUGCUUGUGGCCUUGGUUUCACUCCCAACACCG
rnacentral:tRNA from 1 species